UGGGGAAUAUUGGACAAUGGGGGAAACCCUGAUCCAGCAAUGCCGCGUGUGUGAAGAAGGCCUGCGGGUUGUAAAGCACUUUCGGAGGGGACAAAAAGCGUCGGGCUAACACCCAGGCGUCUUGAUUUAACCCUCAUAAGAAGCACCGGCUAACUCUGUGCCAGCAGCCGCGGUAAUACAGAGGGUGCAAGCGUUAAUCGGAAUUACUGGGCGUAAAGCGCACGCAGGCGGCUGCAUAAGCCGGUCGUGAAAUCCCCGGGCUUAACCUGGGAAUUGCGAUCGGGACUGUGCGGCUAGAGUGUUGGAGAGGGCAGCGGAAUUCCAGGUGUAGCGGUGAAAUGCGUAGAUAUCUGGAGGAACAUCAGUGGCGAAGGCGGCUGCCUGGCCAAACACUGACGCUCAGGUGCGAAAGCGUGGGGAGCAAACAGG
rnacentral:rRNA from 1 species